rnacentral:rRNA from 1 species
GCGGCACGCCUAACACAUGCAAGUCGAACGAAGUAGCAAUACUUAGUGGCAGACGGGUGAGUAACAUGUAGGUAUCUGCCCUUUGGCCUGGAAUAACACGAGGAAACUUGUGCUAAUACCGGAUAAGUCUUUACGGAGAAAGCUUUAUGCACCAUUGGAUGAGCCUGCACUUGAUUAGUUUGUUGGUGGGGUAAUGGCCUACCAAGACUGUGAUCAAUAGCUGAUUUGAGAGGAUGAUCAGCCACAUUGGGACUGAGACACGGCCCAAACUCCUACGGGAGGCAGCAGUGGGGAAUCUUGCACAAUGGAGGAAACUCUGAUGCAGCGAUGCCGCGUGAGUGAAGAAGGCCUUUGGGUUGUAAAGCUCUUUCGUCGGGGAAGAAAAUGACUGUACCCGAAUAAGAAGGUCCGGCUAACU